rnacentral:misc_RNA from 1 species
GAUGAAGAACGCAGCGAAAUGCGAUACGUAAUGUGAAUUGCAGAAUUCAGUGAAUCAUCGAAUCUUUGAACGCAUAUUGCGCUCUCUGGUAUUCCGGAGAGCAUGCUUGUUUGAGUAUCAGUAAGCACCUCAACUUCCAUAUCUUUUUUGAAAUGGGAGUUGGACUUGAGUGAUCCCAACGCUUUUCCUCACCGAAAAGUGGCGGGUUACUUGAAAUGCAGGUGCAGCUGGACUUUUCUCUGAGCUAUAAGCAUAUCUAUUUAGUCUGCCUAAAAAACAGAUUAUUACCUUUGCUGCAGCUAACAUAAAGGAGAUUAGUUCUUGUGCUGACUGAUGCAGGAUUCACAAAGACGGCUUCGGCCGACUUUGUAAACUCGAUCUCAAAUCAAGUAAGACUACCCGCUGAACUUAAACAUAUCAAUAAGCGGAGGA